rnacentral:rRNA from 1 species
GACAGAGGUGCCGAGCGUUAGGCGGAAUCACUGGGCUUAAAGCGUGUGUAGGCGGGUCGUUAAGUGCCUUGUGAAAUCCCACCGCUCACCGGUGGAACUGCUUGGCAUACUGGCGAUCUUGCCACUUAGGGGCAACCGGAACAAACGGUGGAGCGGUGAAAUGCGUAGAUAUCGUUUGGAACGCCAAUGGUGAAAACAGGUUGCUGGGAGUGUGCUGACGCUGAGACACGAAAGCCAGGGGAGCAAACGGG